ACGUAGGGUGCGAGCGUUAAUCGGAAUUACUGGGCGUAAAGGGCGCGUAGGUGGCCUUCUAAGUUGAACGUGAAAUCCCUGGGCUCAACCCAGGAACUGCGUCCAAGACUGGGAGGCUUGAAUCCGGGAGAGGGAUGCGGAAUUCCAGGUGUAGCGGUGAAAUGCGUAGAUAUCUGGAGGAACACCGGUGGCGAAGGCGGCAUCCUGGACCGGUAUUGACACUGAGGCGCGAAAGCCAGGGGAGCAAACGGG
rnacentral:rRNA from 1 species